CCUCACUCUGGCAUUGUGGGCUGCUCCAGCAAGCCCCGCAUUCUGAGGCUUCGUUGGGUGAGGAGCAGACACCAGUGUUUGUGCCUCUAAACUUCAGAGGACAGAUGUUAAUUUCUGCUGAGAAUUUCCUUAUGCAGUACUGGGUGCAGCUAUAAAUUUCUACAGCUCUGCCAAGGAUUUAUGUUAAUAGAAGCCAUCGCUUAACAUCUUGGGUCUCAACUUAGCUUUAAAAUAGGGAAGAUAAAAUCCACUUCAUAAAGUGGUAAAGUUUGAAUCAACUCACGUAAAGUACUUAGAACAGCAUCAGAAACACGAAAUGCAAGCUGUGCUGCCUGGAGUUGGAGGAGCGGUGAUGCACACACUCCCUCGGCCACCUCAGCUGGUGUUUCACUGGGUCAUGGGCACCCCAAGUCUGCCAGCUCCAAGCCCAGCACAGCCCUAGAACUAGCCCAGGAAUUGCAGUCCUUGUGGCUUAGACUGCCUUUUAAGUUUACUUGGGACCCUAGAGCCCUUUAGCCCAUGAUGAUGGGGGUUGCUGGAACUCAGAUUCCCACUACCAGGAUGGAUAAUUUCCCUGUGGCUAGGGCUAGUCUAAAAGCUCCCUCCAUGGGUGCUGGCUGAAGUCUGCCUUGUAUUGCUUUCCAUUAUGACAGGGCAGCACUGAAUUCCAGUGCAAAGCCCCACAAUUACUGUACUGUCCUUCCCCCAAGUGUACAGAUUCUCUCUUCUGCCCCACAUAGUGCCACCAGGGGAUGGGGGAGCAGUGGUGUCAGGAAUUUAAGACUGUCUUUCCUACCCUCUUCAGUGUCUCUUUCCUUAACAUGAUGUUAAAACCAGGUACUGUGAUCACUCACUUGCUUUUUGGUUCUUAUGAAGGUGAUUUCUUCUGUGGAUAGUAGUUCAAUUUGGUGUUCCUGUGAGGAGGACAGUCACUGAAGGGUUCUGUUUGGCCAUCUUGCUCCCUUGUUUUUUGUUUACAUUGUCUAUGUCACCUCACAUAGUCCAGAAUGUACUGAGUGAAUUUAAUAAAUGUUUGUUGCAGUAAUGAAUAAACGAGAAGUAAACUUUCUUUAAGUUUUGGAACCUAAAAUAAUAAGUUUUAGUUGGGAAAACUCCCUAAUAACAUCCUUGGGAGUACAAGUAUGAUUAACAAAGAUUACUUAUCUCAGAAAGGUAAAUUUUAUAUGUGAAAACACUUUUAUAUGAAGUUUGAAAAUAUAUUUGGAAUAAAUAUAAGGAAUCAGUGAGAGAAUAGUCAAUGUGUAGAGGCAAAUCAGAAAAGUGAGAUUCAAGACCUGCCUUCACACUCUUUUUAAGUUUGAGCAUGUACUUAACCUCUUUGACCUCCAAAUCUCUCCUUUGGUCUUAUAUACAAUCAGGUGUUUCUAAUUAUAAUAGAUGAUGAUGUGUGAGAGAAUAUAUUGUUAACUGCAAAUCUUAUAAUAAUAAAAGCUGUAAUAAUACAUUUACAAACUAGCAUAAUUUCAUUGAGCAACAGAAAUUGUGAAGACAGCAUUUAUUUUCUUUAAAACAAUGAUGUAUUUCAUAAUUCACAUAUUUUGCUUUUCAAAUAAUUGUUUAUUAAAAUUUGUAUUUGUAUUGAUUGAGCACUUAUGAAUUAGAUAAGUAAUGCCAUAUUAUUUUAUAUCAUCUGUUAUCUGUGUCCAGUGGAUUUAUACAAUCUCACAUUUUUUAUCUGGUCAUGUACAAGGGUGUGAAUUCACCCGAAACACUCAGAGUGAUUCUGCUAUCUGUAUACAAUCCUAUAGCAUUUGCUUUGAUAUUAAAGAAUGCCAUCAAACAGAAAAUGAUGUGGUCAUUAAAUGUAGGGUAAAACCAAAGUUUAUGAUAUGAAUUCUAAAAACAUCAUAUGACUUCAAGUGAACUUUGAGACUUGUCUCAAUUUGAAAAUUGCUGUCUACUUCAUUUUACUGAAGAAAAGGAUAAGAGCAAAUAGAUUAUAAGUCACUGCAGACAAAACAAUUUAUUUUCCAGACUAAAGAGAAUUAUGAAAAACCAGACAUUUAAAUUGGUAGAAAAAAG
rnacentral:lncRNA from 10 species